GGUUAAGCGACUAAGCGUACACGGUGGAUGCCCUGGCAGUCAGAGGCGAUGAAGGGCGUGCUAAUCUGCGAUAAGCGCCGGUAAGGUGAUAUGAACCGUUAUAACCGGCGAUACCCGAAUGGGGAAACCCAGUGUGAUUCGUCACACUAUCAUUAACUGAAUCCAUAGGUUAAUGAGGCGAACCGGGGGAACUGAAACAUCUAAGUACCCCGAGGAAAAGAAAUCAACCGAGAUUCCCCCAGUAGCGGCGAGCGAACGGGGAGGAGCCCAGAGCCUGAAUCAGCAUGUGUGUUAGUGGAAGCGUCUGGAAAGGCGCGCGAUACAGGGUGACAGCCCCGUACACAAAAGCGCAUGUGCUGUGAGCUCGAUGAGUAGGGCGGGACACGUGGUAUCCUGUCUGAAUAUGGGGGGACCAUCCUCCAAGGCUAAAUACUCCUGACUGACCGAUAGUGAACCAGUACCGUGAGGGAAAGGCGAAAAGAACCCCGGCGAGGGGAGUGAAAAAGAACCUGAAACCGUGUACGUACAAGCAGUGGGAGCACAGGUUUACCUGUGUGACUGCGUACCUUUUGUAUAAUGGGUCAGCGACUUAUAUUCUGUAGCAAGGUUAACCGAAUAGGGGAGC
rnacentral:rRNA from 1 species